GUUGAUGUCAAGAUGAAACUGAAUACAUAAGCAGAUGUGAUAAUUUAAUACAGAGGUGAUGCUCUGAAUGUAAGUAGAAAAAACGAUAAUCUGGAUGUGAGUAGCAAAGUCUAUGCUGUGAAUAUAUAUAGUUGGAAUAAGUUGACGUCCUUUUAUGGGAGUGACCCAUCUAUAUCAAGAGCUUUUUCCAUAGUGUUUGGUCCAAUCAUGGAAGGGAUUAAAUUCUAAAAUAGCAAGGCGUGGCUAAUCACGGGAGGCAUCACACUUGUCCUUGUUGGAGCUCUUUUUUUUUUUAUUUUUUACUUCUUUGCAAGGGGUUUAUUCUUCUGUACAAGGGUUUCCUCUAUGGUGUUUGAUACAGCCAUGAAAGGCUUUGUCUUCGCAGGUAAUAAGGUGGGCCCACCCUUCUCCUUACAAAAUGGUAAUUGAUACCUUUACAUGAUCAAUAGUUCAACCAUGUCAAAGGAUUCUUAUAUGGUGGAUGGUCCACCAAUGCGGGGAAUAAUAUAAGCUCUUUGAAGAUAAGUAAAGGUAACAUGGUUGAAGUAGAGGCAAAACUCUGAAAAAUAGAUAGUUGUAAUACAAUUGAUGCAUGAUGAGCUUUUUAAAAGAUAAAUGCAGCUAUAUUGCAAUAAUUCAUAUGGUGAGGUAUCUCGCGGAGUAAGGAAUAAAUAUCAAGUUGGUGGCUCGUUUCAAACGAUCGAAGACUUAUAAGUAGGCUUUAGAUAGAUGAUGUCUUAUAGCUGGGCUCGAUGAUAGUGAAGGGCGAGGGA
rnacentral:lncRNA from 1 species